GUUGGCGUCCCAGCAUCACCCUCCCCCCCCCCCCCCGCGGCCCCCAGUAGCAGGCGUCCUGCGGGGGGGGGGGGGCUGUCAAUCAUCGCUCCAGCUCCCAUUCAGUCAUUCUGCAGGGCUCUGAGCCGGACUGCACCAACCGGACCCAGGGAAACGGGGGUGGGGGGCAGGCGGCAGCGGAGCCAGCCAGGCCACCCCAGGCGCUGGGCAGGGCACAAGGCAGAGCCCCUCUGCUCCGGAGUCAGGGCAGCUCCACCGGGGAUUUGCUCCAGGUGGGACACUCCACCCACCCCCCUCCCGCUGCAUCUCCCCCAGGUUUGCAGGAGUCCGUCCCCCCCCACCCCUACAAGCCGCCCAGCCCCCCCCCCCAGCCCCCGCCCUGAAGUUGCUAAGCUCGUGCAUUGUAGCCCUGCAUGGAGCGGCGGUCGCAUCAGCUGGGAUGCAGCGCUCGGGCGGGCACUAGGCUGGAGCGCAAGGGGGGGAAAGCAGCGGCCGCCGCUUCUCCUUCUCGCUGGGCAGCGCCUGGAUCUCCUGUCCCAUCUCUGCUCUUCGAUUAAGGCUGUGAAGUGACCAUGGGGAAGCAGAAUAGCAAACUGCGUCCAGAGAUGCUCCAGGACCUUCGGGAGAACACUGAGUUCUCGGAUCUGGAGCUGCAGGAGUGGUACAAGGGCUUCCUCAAGGACUGUCCCACCGGCAUCCUGAACGUGGAGGAGUUCAAGAAGAUCUAUGCCAACUUCUUCCCCUACGGCGACGCCUCCAAGUUUGCCGAACACGUCUUCCGCACCUUCGACACCAACGGGGACGGCACGAUCGACUUCCGAGAGUUCAUCAUCGCCCUGAGCGUCACCUCCCGGGGCAAACUGGAGCAGAAGCUCAUGUGGGCCUUCAGCAUGUAUGACCUGGAUGGUAACGGCUAUAUCAGCCGGGAGGAGAUGCUGGAGAUCGUGCAGGCCAUCUACAAAAUGGUUUCCUCGGUGAUGAAGAUGCCUGAGGAUGAAUCAACUCCAGAGAAGAGAACGGAAAAAAUCUUCCGACAGAUGGAUACUAAUAAUGAUGGCAAACUCUCUCUGGAAGAGUUCAUCAAAGGUGCCAAGAGCGACCCCUCGAUCGUGCGGCUGCUGCAGUGCGACCCCAGCAGCGCCUCGCAGUUCUGAGCCCUCCCGAGGGGAGUGGGGGAUGGGACCCAUCCUCUCCCGAGAGCACUGCCAAGACACCUGACCUCACAAAAUCCCCGGCUCCGCCACGGAGGCCAGCUUCCCAUAAUCCUCUGGGUGAACGGACAUGGUCCCAUGAAAUGACAGCACGGCCACCGUUUUCUCAACUCAUCCACUCUGCUUCCCUCACGCCGAGUCCGUAGCCACGGCCUCGGGAACGUUCAGCUGGUUCUGGGGCUCCCGGGGCGGGUGGGAGGCGGACAGAACAGGACCUAGCUGGAAACCACUUUCACGACGCCUGUGGGCUGGAGCACAGGGCCAGGCUCAGCAUUGUCCUCCGGGGGUCCCUGGGAGGUGGGGCCAGGCUCAGCAUUGUCCUCCGGGGGGCCCUGGGAGGUGGGGCCAGGCUCAGCAUUGUCCUCCGGGGGGUGGCCCUGGUCUCCCUGCUCAGGGUCUCUGCCUUGUGAGGUUGCACAAUGCAGCCGCAGCUGGGGCUUUCCAUCGCUGUAUGGGAAGUGGCAGCAGGGAGAGAGAAAUAGCUGCCCCUCCUUUAAGCUCUGCCCCUCCACAGGGGGAAGGAGGAGCUGCUAAUCUCAGCCCACAACCCAUCGGCUGCACUAGCCACCUGUGGUACCCCGAAGGGGGUGUGUGUCUAAGCUCACCGUCUCCCCUCCCCCCAGCAGGGACACAGGCAGAUGCUCUUACCCCUUCACUGCCCCCCAGCUGCCGGCCCUGCAAAAUGGGAGGGAUGCAGCUGCUGCAGGGCCACCAUGUAGCCGUAACGAAGGGCCACUUCCCUGGCUGGGUCAGGCUGCCUAUGCGGGUUUCCCCUGAGGACUGACUGGUGCUUUGAGGGGGCAUGAGCCCUGGGCCCACUCGUAGGGGAGCAGAGGGGGCCUGCGCCCUCCCUUCUCGAGAUGGUUGCCAUAGGUGAAGCUAGAGGGAAUAGGCUGGUGUCUCUGCAGCUAGUGGAGACUGGGGGGUGGGAUCCUUGGGCUAGGUCUGUAGGAGGCUCCUCCUAGGAGCAGGAAUAGAGCUAGGUAUUUCCCCAUGCAGCUCGGGAGAGGCUAUCCAGACCGAACACUUCCCUCUCUUCUAGCUUCUGCCAGGAUUUUCCAUGGAGUCAGCCCCAAAAGCUUAGCAGCGAGCGCCAGAGCAAGCCAAGCCCCCGGCUUCUGCCAACCCAGGUGCACAGCAGGGGCCAGGGGCUUUCUUCAGGCCGCUGUUUAAAGACAGGCCGGUCAAGAGCGCACACGCCAGGUGAGCGCAAGCCCAGCCCUGGGGCUACACAGAGGCUAAAGUCGGGGGCUCCUGGAAGAAGCUUGGAGGGGGAAAGGUCAGUCAGCAAGGGGAGGGGCUCUGGCUGCACCCCCAGAGGCUGAAGGGGGCGGGGGGAGUAAUCAGCCUGCAUAGGGGACUUGCCCUCACAGCUGGUGUCUGAAGGGGAGUUAAGCAAAAUUAGUUCCCAACACAGCUGGGGGUGCCAAAGCCCAGCUGGGGGCCGGGGGGGUGGGGGGAGGUGCCAGAAUGUGGCUAUGGCAAAGCCUCUCUUACUGAGCCAGAAGUUGGACUUCCUGCCCUCUCCCCCACGUGGCUGUGUAGAGUAGGACGCCACCCCUGACAGUGUCCUGGUGGAAGGGGAUGUGCCCAUCUCUACAGCCUGCCCCAGCUGGAAGGCAGGGGCUGAGUAAGGCCCGGGGGGGAGGAGAGACAGUGGUAGCAGUCUCAGCCCUUGGGCUGCCCCCCAACCUCCCAGCUGAUUGUAGCUUCCCCCACUUAGCACAGAUGGGGAGCAGCCCUGACGACCCCAGCGCACACAUUAAAGGCCACUGCUGUCUGUCACAUAAUUUUGUUCAUCAGUAUUUUGUUUUGGCUGCACACAGAUCCCCUUGGCAAGGGGAAGGAGGGCUCAGCAGGGCCACCCCCACUUCACACAGAGGCAGAAGCCCCGCAUCACAGGCGGGGCUCUGUCAGCACAAACCGCGCCCCCCCCCCCCCCAACCCUGCCAACUGUCUCAGCCCAGGUUGUGGAGAUCAACGUGUCCCGGUGUGCUCACGCACCA